rnacentral:rRNA from 3 species
GAGACAGGUGCUGCAUGGCUGUCGUCAGCUCGUGUUGUGAAAUGUUGGGUUAAGUCCCGCAACGAGCGCAACCCUUAUCCUUUGUUGCCAGCGGUCCGGCCGGGAACUCAAAGGAGACUGCCAGUGAUAAACUGGAGGAAGGUGGGGAUGACGUCAAGUCAUCAUGGCCCUUACGACCAGGGCUACACACGUGCUACAAUGGCGCAUACAAAGAGAAGCGACCUCGCGAGAGCAAGCGGACCUCAUAAAGUGCGUCGUAGUCCGGAUUGGAGUCUGCAACUCGACUCCAUGAAGUCGGAAUCGCUAGUAAUCGUGGAUCAGAAUGCCACGGUGAAUACGUUCCCGGGCCUUGUACACACCGCCCGUCACACCAUGGGAGUGGGUUGCAAAAGAAGUAGGUAGCUUAACCUUCGGGAGGGCGCUUACCACUUUGUGAUUCAUGACUGGGGUGAAGUCGUAACAAGGUAACCGUAGGGGAACCUGCGGUUGGA